GGCGUGCUUAACACAUGCAAGAAACACGCGAACGAGUUCUUCGGAACUUUAGUAGAGUGGCGCACGGGUGAGUAACGCGUAAGUAAUCUACCCUGGCAUCGGGAAUAACUCACCGAAAGGUGUGCUAAUACCGGAUACGCUGAUUUAUCAGGAAAGGUGGCCUCUUCAUGAAAGCUACUGUGCUGGGAGGAGCUUGCGUACCAUUAGCUAGUUGGUGGGGUAAUGGCCUACCAAGGCAACGAUGGUUAGCGGGUCUGAGAGGAUGAUCCGCCACACUGGAACUGGAACACGGACCAGACUCCUACGGGAGGCAGCAGUGAGGAAUAUUGCGCAAUGGGGGAAACCCUGACGGAGCGACGCCGCGUGGACGAAGAAUGCCGGAAGGUUGUAAAGUCCUUUUCCUGGGGGAGAAUAAUGCUUGGAGGUAAUGCCAAGCAGAUGACGUGAACCAGGGAAUAAGCCCCGGCUAAUUACGUGCCAGCAGCCGCGGUAACACGUAGGGGGCAAGCGUUGUUCGGAUUUAUUGGGCGUAAAGGGCGUGUAGGCGGUAAUGUAAGUCUGGUGUUAAAUACCUCGGCUCAACCGAGGAGGUGCGCUGGAAACUGUAUUACUAGAGUUAUGGAGGGGGAGCUGGAAUUCCUGGUGUAGGGGUGAAAUCUGUAGAGAUCAGGAAGAACACCGGAGGC
rnacentral:rRNA from 1 species